CGUUAUGUUUCGUAUAUUCCUUUUGUGUGUUGCUUAGUUUCACUUUAUAUUAAAGAUGUGGAACGCUACUCACGCUGCGCCUUGGUCUGAUCAUUAUUACAACGGACGUGACAGACUGAUAGGUAGGCAAUCAGAUUUGUUUGCAGAAAUGGUUUUCCGGCAUUUUCUCAUGUCAUCUUGGCAAAUAGUGCCUAGCAACAUUAUGCUCAGUAAAAACACUGCCAUACUGCAUGUUAGUCAGUCACUCAGUUCCACUAAAACAGGAAUGCACCACAAAUCAAGAUGGUAAAGCAAACGGUUUACAGCCUUCCACACCAGCCUUAAAUCAAUUUAGACCCAUUCAAUGAAAUUGUAAAAUCCGCCCCGGCCAGUGAAUAUGUUCGUUUUGAUGAAUGAAAUGUGAAGUGGAAACAAACCAUAAAGAAACUGUCAUGUUUGUAUUAGCACUUCUAGCAUUGACACUCCAUUAACUAUCAUUAGGCCAAACACUAGUCCCUAUCAUUGACCUAAACCCUUCUCUCAGAGAGCUACUGUGUAUGCAGGCUAUUACUCCAACCGUGUUGUGUUACUCACCCGAGUCCGUUAAUCAAGGUCCUGGCCAACAGCUAACUAGUAGAAUCAGGUGUGCUGGAAAACCUACAGGAGGUAGCUCUCCAGGAGGAGGUCUGCUUUACAGAACUCUAGUAGUGAGGUCAUCUCCUCUGACUCGUUUGUGAAGUCCGAGUCAUCACUUAUUAACUGGGUGUUGUUUCUCUCCGUAGGCGGGACGGCCAAGGGUACUCUGUGCGGAGAACCGUCCGCUCCCUUAGACAGUGCCAGCAGCCGAUCCUCUUCCCCAAAAACAAUGAGACAGACGAGGUCACCACCUCCAUCAAUGUUCCUUUAGGGGUUGAGGAGUGCCAGCAGGCAAACAAUGGAGAAAGGCCCUAACAUGGCAUUGGUCUUCAGCUUGUCCACUCUCAUGUUUGUCCUCAUCACAGGGACGGAGACAUUCAAAAGUCUAAAUCAGCGCCCAGAGUUGAAGCAGGUAAUCCAGGUGGAAUCUGGGAAGGAUACAGUCCUAGACUGCUCUGUGAAGUUCAGUGAGAAAUCCCUGGUAAUGUAAACAUAGAGCAGGUCGUGUUGUGGAAGCUGGACCAGAAUGGUCUUCGCAAAGGUGAACCUGUGUUCAAAUACAACAUCUACAAUCAACAAUCCUCCAAUCCCAGGAUGCUGCUGAGCCCAUAAUAUUAGCUUCCAUGCCACCUGCUAAUGAGAAAAACAAAGUUGUGUCCCUGUUGGUCAAAGAAACUCAGCUUGAAGACGUGGGUCCGUAUGAGUGUAUGGUAAACACACAUGCUGAAGUUCACAGUACCAGACCAGCACCAGGUUCCUGAGAAUGCUGCGAAUCAAGAGGAAAUUCCAAAGAACAGUUACAUGAGUGUGGCUGCUGUAUUUGUGGUAGUAGGCUCUCUUGCCAUUGGACUGCUGCUUCUCAAGCUGUUUCAAGCCAGAAGACUCAGACAACAUGAACCCUUGAUACAAGAGGCCUCUGUUGUGCCAGAAGCAGUCCCAGCAGAGCAC